UACGGGGGGAGCAAGCGUUGUUCGGAUUUACUGGGCGUAAAGGGCGCGUAGGCGGCCACCGCAAGUCGACUGUGAAAUCUCCGGGCUUAACCCGGAAAGGUCAGCCGAUACUGCGGGGCUAGAGUGCAGAAGGGGCAACUGGAAUUCUCGGUGUAGCGGUGAAAUGCGUAGAGAUCGUAAGGAAGACCAGUGGCGAAGGCGGGUCUCUGGACAGUUCCUGACACUGAGGCACGAAGGCCAGGGGAGCAAACGGG
rnacentral:rRNA from 1 species